rnacentral:rRNA from 1 species
UACAGGGGGUGCAAACGUUGCUCGGAAUUAUUGGGCGUAAAGCGCACGUAGGCGGAUCGCUAAGUCAGGGGUGAAAUCCUGGAGCUCAACUCCAGAACUGCCUUUGAUACUGGCAAUCUCGAGUCCGGGAGAGGUGAGUGGAACUGCGAGUGUAGAGGUGAAAUUCGUAGAUAUUCGCAAGAACACCAGUGGCGAAGGCGGCUCACUGGCCCGGUACUGACGCUGAGGUGCGAAAGCGUGGGGAGCAAACAGG